GGUUUCAUGCUUGGCGACGAUUUGUGCGAAAGUUAAUAGGCUUUGGAGAUCGAAGGACAUCGAACAUUGUGUCUAGGAUUGCCGACGAAAGUUGCACAAUGUAGCUGGUGGUGUUUUCUGGUUUAUUUCGGUGUGCCAAAAAUUGGGCCGUGUACCUUGUGUUGCCUUUAAAGGCUUACUAAAUGAGUACAAUGUGGAGGUGAAGGUCCCCUUCACUUAUUCAGCUCACUGGUAUCAUGAUUCAAAAGAGUUUCUGGAUGAGAAGCAAGCAAUUUACAAAGGGUUCAUGAUACGCUUGCAUGCAUCAUAUCUAUGGAGAAAGAGAAUUCAAGUUUGAAUAGUUAACCAUAUUGAAUUUAUUCCUGGCGUGCCUCCUCUAAGGGUAAGAGAGUGGAACACCGCAUUUGGUAGGGAGUCCACUGGCUGCAUCUUCCUUAAUGUUCUGGUACUUAUUAGCUGCAUCUUUAACACAGCCGCAAGCUUGGCGCUUUUCAUCAGUGGUAGUUGCCAUCCCUUUGAUUUGCUUAACUCCGUCACAACAAGCUGUAACUGGCUGAGGGGCACUGCCCACCAAGUAUGGCAUGCAUUGCACAAGGGACUUAUCAACAUCGGAGCAGGACGAUGCAGGUGUUGUUGUGUCGCACAUCAUAUACAGGACCAUGAGAGGUUCACAUUUUACUACUGUAUGUGUAGUUGAUCUAGACAGUGAUUAUGAAGCGGAGCAUUCAUUAAAAAUUUGUGGUAAGAGUUGUAUUUUAAGGGAACAAGAAAAUCCUUAUGGGGAUACCCGUCUCCCAGAAAGAGCUUUUCUAUUCAGUUUUCCACAUGGGAGUUUAGAAUUCCAAGAUUCUUCUGUUCAUUUUCAUGGAAAAACCUGCUCAAUUUGUUUGAAUAUGUUUAAGAAGCACAGUGAUGAUGUUAUCAAGAUAUGUUGCGGACAUGCUUUUCACUCCAGAUGUCUGAUACCUUGGUUCCACAAAGUUGGUACUUGCCCAGUAUGCUGCUGACGAAGCAAUCAAAUUUUGUAUCCCAUGUAAAUUAGAAUCUCUGUUUUUCUCAAUGUAGUCACUCUGGGACUACUCAUAAAACGUUCCGGAAGGACACU